rnacentral:rRNA from 1 species
GCUGAACUUAAGCAUAUCAAUAAGCGGAGGAAAAGAAACUAACAAGGAUUCCCCUAGUAACUGCGAGUGAAGAGGGAAAAGCUCAAAUUUAAAAUCUGGCAUCUUCGGNUGUCCGAGUUGUAAUCUGGAGAAGUGUUUUCAGUGCAGGACCGUGUACAAGUCUCUUGGAAUGGAGCAUCAUAGAGGGUGAGAAUCCCGUCUUUGACACGGACUACCUGUGCUUUGUGAUACACUCUCAAAGAGUCGAGUUGUUUGGGAAUGCAGCUCAAAAUGGGUGGUAAAUUCCAUCUAAAGCUAAAUAUUGGCGAGAGACCGAUAGCGAACAAGUACCGUGAGGGAAAGAUGAAAAGCACUUUGGAAAGAGAGUUAAACAGUACGUGAAAUUGUUGAAAGGGAAACGCUUGGMGUCAGUCGCGUUUGUUAGAACUCAGCUUGGCUUCUGCUNAGUGUACUUUCUNAUGAACGGGCCAACAUCGAUUUCARUCANCGGAUAAGGGUAAGAGGAAUGUGGCACCUUCGGGUGUGUUAUAGCUUCUNAUCUUAUACAUCUACUGGGAUGGAGGUCUCCAACACUUGUGCUUAGGAUGUUGGCAUAAUGGCUUUAAUCGACCCGUCUUGAAACACGGACCAAGGAGUCUAACAUGCCCGCGAGUGUUAGGGUGGUAAACCCUUGCGCGUAAUGAAAGUGAAAGUUGGGACCUCUGUCAUGGGGGGCACCGACGCCCGGUCCAGAACUUCUGUGACGGUACUGCGGUAGAGCGUGUAUGUUGGGACCCGAAAGAUGGUGAACUAUGCCUGAAUAGGGUGAAGCCAGAGGAAACUCUGGUGGAGGCUCGUAGCGAUUCUGACGUGCAAAUCGAUCGUCAAAUUUGGGUAUAGGGGCGAAAGACUAAUCGAACCAUCUAGUANCUGGUUCCUGCCGAAGUUUCCCUCA